rnacentral:lncRNA from 1 species
CCAAUAUAUACGGAGGAGGGAAAUGGUUCUGUGCAUGCGGCGGCUGCGGGGAUCUCUCUGUAUUUAGGACCCUGCCCGCGGAUCACCAAGCCCCUUUCCCAUCUGCAGAGAUCUCACCAGGGCAUCUGCCCAUUCGCAGGGAUCUGAAAUGGCAGGACUCACCCGGGCAUCCACCGAGGAAGCUGCGAGCCAUCCACCGGACUCUGAUCGGGAGGUACUUUCCAAAUUAUCAUCUCCCUUAUCGGCAGGCCACAUCUCAGGGAUCAGAUGUCAUGAUAUCUGUGGGGAUCUCUCAUGGAUUCUGGAUCCUCUUUGGAGAGCAAGAACUUGGAGCUUAAAGGUGCAGUGGAUACCACGUACAGGUGUGAUGCCCAGGACCUUCCACUCUCCGACUGAUUUAGAGCCUUUGAGGAAGAACACUGGGGAGUCCAGACGACUGUUGGAUUUCGUCGCUGGCAAGGAGGCCUUCUGGGAUGAUGGACACCAGGAAUGCAGGAUGGCAGGAAUGGUGGUGACAGGCCUCCUUUUCCUCAGUCUCACUGUG